UACGUAGGGCGCAAGCGUUGUCCGGAAUUAUUGGGCGUAAAGAGCUCGUAGGCGGCUUGUCACGUCGGGUGUGAAAGCCUGGGGCUUAACCCCGGGUCUGCAUUCGAUACGGGCAGGCUAGAGUGUGGUAGGGGAGAUCGGAAUUCCUGGUGUAGCGGUGAAAUGCGCAGAUAUCAGGAGGAACACCGGUGGCGAAGGCGGAUCUCUGGGCCAUUACUGACGCUGAGGAGCGAAAGCGUGGGGAGCAAACAGG
rnacentral:rRNA from 1 species